CAAUUCCAUUUAUUUUGUACCCCUCUCCCCCAGCAGAUAUAUUUUCCCCUGCUUAUUUCCUCUGUUUAUCUUAAAAAAAAAAAAAAAAAAAAAAAAAAAAAAAAGAUUAAAAGUUGGGAUGAUGAGGGAAUUCCCGUUGUGGCUCAGUGGUUAACGACCCCAGCUAGGAUCCAUGAGGAUGUGGGUUUGAUCCCUGACCUUGUUCAGUGGAUUAAGGAUCCAGUGUUGCCAUGAGCUGUGAUGUAGGUUGCAGACGCGGCUCGGAUCCUGCAUUGCUGUGGCUCUGGCGUAGGCCAGUGGCUACAGCUCCGAUUCGACCCCUAGCCUGGGAACCUCCAUAUGCCAUGGAAGCGGCCCAAGAAAUAGCAAAAAGACAAAAUAAUAAUAAUAAUAAUAAGUUAUUACAAGAUAGUGAGUAUAGCUCACUGUGCUUUACAGCAAGUCCUUGUUGUUUGACUAUUUUAUACACAGUAGUGUGUAUAUGUUAAUCCCAAACUCCUAACUAAUCUCCCUCACCCCUGGCAAUGAACCUCUGAAUGGCAGGAAACACAGGUUGGAUCCACACUGUACACAACCUAUGUGAGCGAGUGAAGGACAAGGAAGGAGAUUUGCCGCCCAGAAAACCAGCCUGUGUGACAGCCAAGAGAGAGCCAGUUCUAGACCUGAGGGAUCCUAACUGGUUUUCUCGUUUCCAUGCACUGUUUUUCUGGCACACUUGUGGCUGGUGUUCCCAUAGGACAUUGUGAUGCUCUACAGCCAGGGGGAGGUCUGAGUGCCUUUGUCCCCCACAGGGAAGCCAGGACAGGCUUCAAAGGAAAUCAUCCUUGUUAUGGGUCACAAAGAGUUGAUAAUCAGCAAUGUUGUAAGGUGCAACCUCAUAUAAUUUUGGAACUAUGAAAACAAUAAUAAUUCUAAUAACAUUUGUUAUGGGCUGAAGCAUGUGUUCCCUGCUGCCACCACCAAAUUCAUAUGUUAAAGCCUUCACCCCCAGGGCCUCAGAAUGUGACUGUAUCUGGAGACAGGGCCUUUAAAGAGGUGACUAAAUUAAAUGCCGUCUUCUGGAUGGAUGCUGAUCCAAACUGACUGAUGUCCUUAGAAGAAGAGGAGACUGGGGGACAGCAGGGCGUGUGGGCCCAGCCGUGUAAAAAAGUGCCAAGGCAGCCACCUGGAAGCCAAGGAAAGAAGCCUCAGAGGAAACUGACCCAGACAUACCUUGAUCUUGAACGUCCAGCCUCCAGAACUGUGAGAAAAUGAAUUUCUGUUAUUAAAGACUCCCAGGUUGUGAUGUCUUGUUAUGGCAGCCCAAGGAAACGAAUAUGGUAAUUUUUUUUUAAAGACAGGAUUCUAAAAAGACAGGUAUAGGUCUGAGGAGUUAUUCCUAUGACUGCAUGCCAGCCAGUGGGCUUACCCCAGCACCACUUUCUGUUCUUUUUCUUCUUCUUUUCAUUUUUGGCCGCCCUGAGGCAUAUGGAGUUCCCGGGCCAGGGAUCAGAUCCAAGCCACCAUCACAACCUAAGCCAAAUCUGCAGCAACACCAGAUUCUAAAUCCACUGUGCCGGAGCCAGUGCUCCCAAGACGCCACAGUCCCAUUGCUCCACAGCAGGAACUCUACCACCUUCUGUUUUUUGUGGUCCCUCUCGUCUCCUGGUUCCUCCGCCAUUCAAUACGUGGAGCAUGGGCCUAUCUCAAAUAAAAAGGGGACACCCAGGACUCAUCUUUAAUCAUGAGGAGCAUCACGGAGGUGGCUUGGGGUUGAUAGCUCUGUUGUCGAAGUCACGUUCAAGGAGUUCCUGCUGUGGCAUGGCAGGUUAAGGACCUGGCAUUGUUUCUGCGGCAGCUCAGGUCCCUGUGGAGGCGUGGGUUCAAUGCCUAGCACCACACAGUGGAUUAAGGAUCCAUCUUUGCUUCACUUGGGGCCUAGGUCUCAGCAGCAGCUCAGAUUCAAUCCCUGGCCCUUGAACUUCCAUGUGCCUCUGAUGCAGCUGAAAAAACAGUCAUGUUCAAAUCCAAAGAGCAGGGCCCCUGCCUCCUAUUGCUUUGCCCUCUUCCACUAGCAUGACGUAGGUAGUCAGUAAAGGGUUUACCCGAGCCCAGCAAGACCUGGGCUUCCAUCUUGGUCCCGCUCUUUCCUAUGUGGGUGGCCUUGGGCAAAUUCAGCCUCUAAGCCUCUGUUUCUUGAUCGGCACAGAAGGCAUGGACAUAUCAACCUCCCAAAGCUCUGUGAAAGUUAGAAACCAAAGAUAUCAAGAGUCCAUCACAAUGCACAACACAUGGAAAGGGUCCUGUGAUUUGUGAAAUCCAUUAUUUGUUAUUUUGUGCUUCUCCAAGUUGGUAAAAGAAUACCCCCAUUAGGCCCUCUCUUGUUUUCUCUGAUACACGUUGUCUGUCCUCUGUGAUGGAAGAAGAAGGAAGAGGAGAUAAAGGAGAAAAAAAGAAACUACCAUUCUCUGUAUGCUUAAUAGGCAUGUGGCAUUGUUUUGAAUACUAUACACAGACAUUCAUCUUCAGUUCUCAAUAUAAUCCCCCAUUUUACAGAUGAAAAUACUGAGACCCAGAGAGGUCACACAACAUCCUGAAAGUCACACAGCGAUUGAUAAUAAGAUCAGCAAAUUAAGCAAAUAAGCACUACCUUUAAAAUAAGACUCCCAUUCAAGGGGGACUGGAGAGUGGCUGGGAGACACACACACUCCAAAUUCCUCUCCAAGUGCGACAGCAACACACUUGAGCCUAUCUGGGUGCUGACAGGUGGAGAGAGUGUUCUGUGCAGGGCUCGGAGAGCACGCGGCAGUUCCAGGAAAUUCCCAGUGCACCUACUGAAAGGCACCCAAGAGUCCCCUUUCUUUGAUGAAAACAGUCUCAAGGUCACUGGAUGUGUUCCCAGUCAGAGGGUCCAAAAGGACAGAGGUGGGCCAAAAUCUGUGUCCCUUAUUCUCUACUCUCUGCCCUGCCACACACAGAGAUGCAUGCUGCAUCUUCUCUGCUCUGCCUGGUACCCAGGGUGACCCCUGCAGAUACAUCACCAGCUCCUUGUCCUCUGGCUUCCGGCUGGGCUCAGUUUAUGGGCAGCACCAGCAGCUGAUAGGCGGCAGAGUGGAUUAAGAGGGGUCCUGCCAGGGUAUGUAUUCCCUGCCCUGCCCUGCCCUGAAAGUGACCCACCAUGAAUGAAGCUCAUGCUGGAAAGCCCAGCUCCAUGGUCCCAGCCCUCGAUGGCUCCAUACACCUCCCUCCUGGUACCUGAAGCCCUAAAUGUUGUGAUGGCUCCCACUGUCGCCAGCCCCAGAGAACCUCAGCAUCCCUUGUUGGUUUUACUAACCCUACUCAUCCCCCAUAAAUAGCUCUUAUAUUAAACUCCCCCUGGUUGCAUCAUCUGGGAUGAAUUCUGUUUCCAACAAGGACCUUGUCUGAUCUAAAGUCAGAGGUGGAACUGAACAGAAAAGGUCCUGAUUUCUAAUUGUCUCCCCCAAACCAGAUUCUGGCAAAGGUAAAGCAGAAGUCAAAGGAUCUUACAUCAGAGUUCCCUUGUGAUGUAGUGGGUUAAGAAUCUGGAACUGUCACUGUAGCAACUUGGGUCGCUGCCUUUGUGUGGGUUCAAGUCCUUGGCCUGGAAACAUCCACAUGCCGCGGGCACAGCCCAAAAAAAAAAAAAAAAAAAAAA
rnacentral:lncRNA from 1 species